GCCGAGGCCACACCACCCUGAAUGUGCGGAUCCCUUUUGAUGUCGAAAGCAGAGCAGGAUCGGGCGGAGUUAGUACUUGGAUGGGAGAAAAUUAAGUACAGUAGGCG
rnacentral:rRNA from 1 species